ensembl:snoRNA U3 Small nucleolar RNA U3
AAGAUCAUAAAUAUCAGGGAUCAUUUCUAUAGUCUUUGACUUGAGAAAUAUAUUCCAUGCAGUGAUCGGUUACUCUAACCACGAUGAAGAGAACUUCUUUUUAUUUCUAUUCUAUAGGAGAUAUUUCUGGAGGCGGGCAGUGAGAAAUGAUGAUGCAUUUCAUGAUUAGGAUGAAGAGCUCCUUGCCAUUGAUGACCGUUCCAUGCUCUCUAGUGGAGCCUGGAGGUAGGGAUCAUGAUCAGAGUGGU